UACGUAGGGGGCAAGCGUUAUCCGGAUUUACUGGGUGUAAAGGGGGCGCAGACGGCAAUGCAAGCCAGGAGUGAAAGCCCGGGGCCCAACCCCGGGACUGCUCUUGGAACUGCAUGGCUGGAGUACAGGAGGGGCAGGCGGAAUUCCUGGUGUAGCGGUGAAAUGCGUAGAUAUAUGGAGGAACACCGGUGGCGAAAGCGGCUCUCUGGCCUGUAACUGACACUGAGGCUCGAAAGCGUGGGGAGCAAACAGG
rnacentral:rRNA from 1 species